UUGCAGCCACUUGAUCUCUAAGUCAUGUGGGCUCACCUAAUAGUUAUUGCCCGCACUCCUUAGUUAAGUCAGACCUACCAUUCACAAGCAGGUGUAAAGCCAUCAUUGGGUCUCUCACCUAAUAGUUAUUAGGCCCAAUCCCAUCUUUACUCCACAGUAACUCUUUGCUAAUAGAGUGGUUGUGUAUUCUAGAUGCAACUGAACUACUAUGACC
rnacentral:lncRNA from 1 species